rnacentral:rRNA from 1 species
UACGUAGGGUGCGAGCGUUUAAUCGGAAUUACUGGGCGUAAAGCGUGCGCAGGCGGUUUUGUAAGCCAGAUGUGAAAUCCCCGGGCUUAACCUGGGAAUGGCAUUUGGGACUGCAAGGCUCGAGUGCGGCAGAGGAGACUGGAAUUCCUGGUGUAGCAGUGAAAUGCGUAGAUAUCAGGAGGAACACCGAUGGCGAAGGCAGCUCACAAAACUGUAACUGACGCUGAGGCACGAAAGUGUGGGGAUCGAACAGG